AGAUAAAUUUAUUGUCAGUAUUAGUCACUUACGCGAAGGUAGAUUGAGGUUGAAAGUCAGAUUUACACAACAAAUAUUUAAUCGUCUACUUUUAUGUGUCGUCGACUGUACUAAAAGUUCCUAUUUUUUUUUAACUAAUUAAACCUUAAGUGUUUGAUAUCCGAGUGAAGCAUAUAAGAUAAUCCAGUCCUUAACCGUAUCAAUCGAAUAUUCUACAUACAAUAUAUCAUUCAUAUUUUAUUUAACCUCACCGAAAACAUGUCAAAUAGCAAUUACUCUGAUUAUGUCGGGGAAAUAUUAUGUAUAUUUUUUUCCAUAGCUAAUAUUAUAGUUAUAUUUCAGUAUGUGAUAUAUGCGUUUAAGCUACGAAUCGUUUAUGGAAAAUUAAACAAAGGCUACGGGUUUGUAGAAGACAAAAACCGCUGGCAUUAUAAGAAAAUGUACGGUAUACAUCCUAGUAAUUUUGAUUUAACCCAGCCCUUGGAGACGUAUAGAUUUUAAGUCCUGUGGGAGUUAUGAGAUAAUCCAGUUAACAUAAUGUAAUUAUCUCCCAGAAUAAUAAUAGCGAAUUUUACUAAAUAAACCAGCUUGUCGUUUAUUUCAUAAAAUCACUAAGUGUUAUCUUUGUAUCAACAUUAUUUGACGUUAUUGCGUUUUCUGAUACGAAAAACGUCUUCAAAUGUGAGUUCGCUUUAGUUAUAGUACAACUUAGCUAAGUACAACGUGCUUCAAAUUAAUAUUAUGUACUUUCCCAAUGCAGAGAAUAGGUUAGCUUGUAUUCGAACGGCUAUAUUUUGAUACUCAUUCAAAAAAGAUCAUUUUUAUCUAAGAUUAUUUGCCAGCUCCAAAACGUCGCAAUAAAUAAGCUUAAGCA
rnacentral:lncRNA from 1 species